rfam:Spinacia oleracea cultivar SynViroflay scaffold86109.con0240.1, whole genome shotgun sequence.
CUUUAUGGCGGCUGCGCGCAGGAGGUCUUUGGACCUGCUGGGUGUCCUAAACAGGCCCGGUCUUGCACACCUGCGCACGGUCGCCACCCUC